UGCUCCUCCGUGAACCGCAAUCAUCGUCGCCUGGGUCGGGUGUACUGUCGAUGCGUCACAAAGUCGCACCUGGAGGAGCCAAGUUGUUGUGCUCUAACACGGUCGACGCCAGGCACAAGAUCUUCCUGGUGACUCCAUGACGACGAGCACGGUGUGCGCGAGCGCAACGAUUAUUCUGGCGACUACAGGCGCGGGAACUCCGGCGUGCAGGUCUUAGUAAGUGCAGGUGGUGUUUCCGGCCAGCGGCGAGUCCAGCUGCCUUCUACGUCGCCUUAUCUGGCAGCUUCCAGUUUGUUGGCCUGACGGUUAGCCGGUUUUCAAAUCAGAUUAGCAGUGCCAAUUGAGAUGACAUGAAGCUGAUGCAAUGUAAAGUUUAGGAUGCAACAAGGGUGGCACUAGCACUGCCGAAGUAAAUAAGAACAGGGGCCCUCCUGCAUGGUUCGAUGAGCUUGGAUAAUGAAAACAUUCGACCUUUACUGAACUUAUUUCAUUCAGUAAAAAUAUGUGAAUUGAGGACUACAUUGGUUCUCUUUCCUGUGGGUGGAGUAUUGUUUUUAUGCAUGACAUUCGUUUUCAAGGAAUGCCUAGGUGUUAUUUUUCCUCAACUGAACUAUUUUGUAGCUUCAGUUAAGUUUUGAGUUGUCCCUACAUUCUGUACAUUCAUGUUCAUAGAGAAAUUGUAUUAUCAUGUCCAUCUAGAGUAUGGUGCUUUGGUAAGGGUUUAGGAAGUUUCUACUGGUUAUUUUUUGAUUCAUACAUGGGGCAUAAAAGUAACACUGCAUGUCUUAUGACUAAAUGAUAUGUAUCUAGGAUGCAAUUCGGUCGUU